rnacentral:rRNA from 1 species
AAAUUGAAGAGUUUGAUCAUGGCUCAGAUUGAACGCUGGCGGCAGGCCUAACACAUGCAAGUCGAGCGGAAACGAGUUAUCUGAACCUUCGGGGAACGAUAACGGCGUCGAGCGGCGGACGGGUGAGUAAUGCCUAGGAAAUUGCCCUGAUGUGGGGGAUAACCAUUGGAAACGAUGGCUAAUACCGCAUGAUGCCUACGGGCCAAAGAGGGGGACCUUCGGGCCUCUCGCGUCAGGAUAUGCCUAGGUGG